GUCAGUGGCAGCUUUGUGAAGAAGAAAGAGGCCGUGCUCUGAGGAGCUGCCCACAAGAAACACCCAGAAGGAACAUAUGCCAUGGAGUUUUCUCCAGCAAAACACCUGUCCUGCACAGACUUUGGAAAACACAAAUAAAAAUGUUUGAAAAUAAAUUCAAAGGUCUCUCUCAGCGUUACAGCUUCUGAGAAUUCGUCUUCUCAAUGCAUAUUUGACUCUUUUCUGGGAAGCACAUGAUGCUGAGGACCUGUUGGAUCACAGCCAAAGCGAAGGCGAUACAUUGUGGGCUCAUCCCAUCAUCAAGUGCAUUAUAAGCAAACCAAUAAAAGGUCACAUCUGUUAGUCACAACUCUUGUGGUUAGGCUCCUAUUGAACAGCAGCCUGUGUGACAGCAGGGCGUGUGUGUGCUCAGUCCCGCUGUACAGCGUGCUGCAGAGAGGAUGUGUGGUGUUAAGGCAGAGUGGCAAAAACAAAAUUAAGGCUGUAGCUAUUUUCCACAUGGCUGUUCAUUAUAGAAAUGUCUGUGGCAACUUUGUUGAUGCUGUCAGUUUGCCUGCUGUUCAGUUCUCUGAGACGAUGCUGUAGGACAAGGCUGUAGAAGA